rnacentral:rRNA from 1 species
CCAGCACCUGCGGUAAUUCCAGCUCCAAUAGCGUAUAUUAAAGUUGUUGCAGUUAAAACGCUCGUAGUCUGAUGUAAUGGGGACUGGAGUGGGGAGCAGCGAUGCUCUUUGCUUUGGUCCUCAUCAGGGGGACAGUAAUGUCCGAGUUUACUUUGAGGAAAUUAGAGUGUUCAAAGCAGGCGAUUGCUUGAAUACUGCAGCAUGGAAUAAUGGAAUAGGACUCGCGUCUUAUUUUGUUGGUUUGGAGAUGUGAGUAAUGAUUAGUAGGGGCAGUUGGGGGCAUUGGUAUUUGGUAGUCAGAGGUGAAAUUCUUGGAUUUACCAAAGACUAACUGGUGCGAAAGCGUUUGCCAAGGAUGUUUUCAUUGAUCAAGAACGAAAGU